UUGGAGGGCAAGUCUGGUGCCAGCAGCCGCGGUAAUUCCAGCUCCAAUAGCGUAUAUUAAAGUUGCUGCAGUUAAAAAGCUCGUAGUUGGAUUUCGGGAUCAAUAUGUUGGUCGUGCCUUGGUACGUACUGGCGUCAUUGGUUUCUACCUUCUGAAGAACCUCGAUGUCAUUAAUUUGGUGUCUUGGGGAAUCAGGACUGUUACUUUGAAAAAAUUAGAGUGUUUAAAGCAAGCUCACGCUUGAAUACAUUAGCAUGGAAUAAUGAAAUAGGACGUUUGAUUCUAUUUUGUUGGUUUCUAGGAUCGACGUAAUGAUUAAUAGGGAUAGUUGGGGGCAUUAGUAUUCAAUUGUCAGAGGUGAAAUUCUUGGAUUUAUUGAAGACUAACUACUGCGAAAGCAUUUGCCAAGGAUGUUUUCAUUAAUCAAGAACGAAAGUUAGGGGAUCGAAGACGAUCAGAUACCGUCGUAGUCUUAACCAUAAACUAUGCCGACUAGGGAUCGGACGAAGUUAAUUUUAUAAUGACGCGUUCGGCACCUUACGGGAAACCAAAGUGUUUGGGUUC
rnacentral:rRNA from 1 species